CUUCCUCCCCCCUUUCUUUCCUUCCUCCCCCCUUUUCUUUCCUUUUUUCCCUUUUUCCCUCCUUUUCUCUCUUUCCCCCCUUUUCAUUUUUCCUUUUUUCCCCUAUUUUUUUUCCUUUUUAUUUUUAUUUUUUAAUCAUCAUUUUUUUCUUUUUGCAAUAGGAGUCUUUGCCUGCUUUUCUUUCUUGGUUCUGUACAAAGAAGCCUUGGAAGGUUAUCUGCUGCUAUCAGGAAUGCUACUCUUGGUCUUCCUCAGUUACCCAAACACGGAUUUCUGUGUUUUAAACUCUCAGUGGACGCUUUUUCCUUAUUAUAGCUAACGUAAAUCCAGGAGAUUGCAUAGAAGAGUUUCCUACAAAUCCCCUUCUUUCUCUUUGCGAUCCGGCAGCCAGAAAGCCUCCAUCCUCCAGUAAUUCGUUGUAGGCCCCAUUUGAACCCUCCCUCCCCUUUCGCCCGCGCUGCAGGAAAUGGACGCCUUACUCCCCCUGCCUCGCGUGAGCAGUGGUACAGCCCGCCCACCUCUCGCGAGAGCAGUGGUGCGGACAGCCCCCCGCCGUAGGGUGGUACAUCCUGAGCCCUUAUAAGCGGCGGCCGCGAUUCUUCCCGCCCUUUCUCCUCGUGCGGCAGGUGGGGUUUGGUGUUAUGGUGGCUCUCGGUAGAGCUGCGGUGAGGGCCCCCAUCCCCCGGGCAGCGGUGGUGCACGCCGUGCCUCCUCGUCCCCCAAGGGCUAUAGGCCCGACCGCUCGAGGUGGCAGUUGAGGGAGAUGAAGGAGAGCUGGCCUCGCUCCUCCCGUCCCCGCAGGCCCUUAUGGAGGCGGAUGGCGGUACCGCGCCCGGCCGGGAGUGCGCAGGCAGCGCUGGAACGGCCCUGCGGUCCGUCCUGAGAAGCUGGGAUUUGCAGAUGAUGUGAUACAAUAAGGAGUGGGAGCAGGCAUCUGUCUGGAGAUGGCCAUAAUGUGAAGCCCUUCAGAAGGCCUUGGGACAGAAGUGAGACUGCAAGGGCAAGAGAUUGUUCUGGGUGUUGAUGCUGAAAGCACAUUUGUUUGAGGAAGAAGGAACCCAAUGGAACAUGAGUGAGCUUGGCAACUGACCUUUGUAAACGUCACCUGUUUUUCUGUGCGUAGACUUGUAAGAUAAGAGGAUGUUUACACUGUUCUGAUAUACAUUAAAGUUCUAAAAAACCCUUCAGUCUGCUUUUGUCACUCUUUGCAUAAAGGAAUGAUGCUUUAUUACCCAACACGUCUUUGUUCCACAUGCACUCUUCUGUGAUUUGCUGUAAUAUGAUACCGUGGAUGUGUACAUGGUACAGUGUAGUUUCUGCAGAGUGUAAACAGGCUUCAGUUGUAAGCAUUCUAUCUGGUGUUAGGUAGUCUAAGCAGUUCAAACAAGUAAUGCUAAGACUGCUACUGUUCUUACUGUAGAGAUUAGGCCCUAAUAUCCCAACAGCAAGAAAAGCAAGUAUUCAAAUUAGGGCAAAUGCAACUGUUUCUGUAGCUUGUUCAGGCUUGAAACUCAGCCUCAAAAUCUGAUGGAGACACUGCAGAAUCUGUUUCUGCAGCAGCAGCAUUUAUUCUAGCUAACUGUACAUGUCUUCUCUAAAUAGUGGUCCAAAUAUGAACUGAUAUUGAGAUGGGGAGAAAAAGAUCUUCUCUAGCUUGACAUCUGUCUUUGUUGUAGGUGGUAAAAGAAUAAAAAAGGCAGAUGUUGCUGACCAUUUUGCCCACUUGGUGUCACCAAGUGAAAGAUUUUAAUGUACUUCAGAGUAUAUGUAGAAAGAAGGUAAUGAUUAUUAAUUAACUGCAUGUGACCACAUGCUUAUGCGGUGGGAAUGGGAAUCUAAGGCUGUCAGCUCAAAGUAGAAUAUAUGUGGAUGUUGCUUUUGAAAGGGAUGAAAAUUCCAUCCUAUAUGGAAGUUCUUAGGAUGUGUGCCAGGAAGCAGCCCUUAAGCAAAGCUGGCAAAGCAGCUGUCAGUCAAAAAUUGAAGUUUGGAAGUAGCAAGGAGUUAGGAAUCACCUAGAAGCCAUUUUGUACGCUUCACUUCCUUUCUGUGAAACAGCUGGUCAGAUAUCAAAGUUGGGAAAAAUAAACUUAGUAGUCAUAAAUGAAUAUGGCUCUGUCACGUAACUGUUUUCACCUGAUUUUAGGAGCUUUUGUGUUAGAACUACAUGCUGUAAUUUGCAUUGGAGUUAAAAAAAAUGUUUUGAAAGGCUUCAGAAAGAGCUCAUGGAGUCUGCUUUUGUUCUAAAUGAGGUUCUGUACACCAUUAAAGAUGAGGGUUAGCAUGGCCACGCUUUCUGUAAAGGGAAACAAGUUUUUGGCUCAGUUGUUCCAUGAGCUACAAAUGGCUGAGUGCCAGUUCAUAGCAGUAAGGGAGAUGCUGAUGCUGUGUUGUAAUUCACUGUGAGAAAGCAUAAGGAUGACACGUGGUGCUGCUAUCCCCAAAGAUGUGCUGUAACAGCCCUGGUGUGGCUGCUCUAAUAGGCAUCCUAUUCCUGUUCAUGUCUUUCCUGCUGUGCUGAGGUGGUGUCAAGGAUGCCAACUCAGAAAUGCCCUUUGUGAUGUGGGUAACAAUUUGUGGUAAGACUGAAAUCUUCAGACUCCUUUUGAUGUCAGGCACUAAACGAGAUGAGAUGGGGCUGACCUGUAAUCCCUGUCCAGGGAAGAGAGAGCAACAGGAGAAUGAGUUUCAAUAUAACAAGCAUUAAACGUGCAUCGUGCACAUGGUUUGCAAAUGCCACUGAAGAUGUGUUGGUCACCCCUGGUCCUUUCCAGGGUUGGAUGAGGGAGAUGUGGAAUAAGAAAGCAAGCGUGGUGUGGGGAGCACCCUCAGGAGACAAGUGGGUGGAGGAGAUGGCUGCCUUUCCAGCAUGGUCAUAAACUAAGCUUCACAUUUCGUAUCAGUGCUGGCUAUCAUUUCUUGAUUAGUUAUUGUAAGGCAAUUGUAUGUACAUAAGCAUUAAAUGAAGCGCUAGUGAAACCAUCAAUUACUGUAAUUAAUAUAUUUCAGCUAUUAGCCAGUCCGAAUAACGUGCUCUUUCAUGGCUUGGUAGCUGCUGUGAUUGAAUCACUUCCAGCUGCCUGUAUCCACCUAAUGAGAAGGGAGGCAGUGAUACAUUGCAUAUUUCAGAAUAAAGAUGGUUUUAGGCUGUGAAGCUUCACUCUUUAUCUCUUGAAGGUAGAUAGAAGAGCAGUUAAUUUUUAAACUCUUCUCUCCCUCAUCAUUUUAAAUUAGUGGAGGAGAGAGCAAGGCACUGCGAGAGGAAUUGCUGUUUUCUAGUAAGAAAUGACUGAAAUGACAUCAGUGUCAUGCAAGGAAAACUUAGAGGUUUGUUUACUUCCAACUGCUGCAUUAACAAAUGCUUUGCUACAACUCCUCAGCUGCCAGAGACUCUGAGCUACUUGGGGUGGAGGGAAAAGGCCCCAAAUACCAAUGGGAUCCUUGGCCUCUUAUCCAGAGUUCAGCUCAAGGUCAGGUCAGACAGAGCUCUGGGCACCCGACAGAGCUGAGGGCAUUCCUGUUCCCUGCAGGGGGGGUCGGACUCAAACCAUUCCUUGAACGUUCAUAGCACCUGAUUGACUUAUAAGGAGCUAACGGGCAGAAAUUGAUACACAGCAUACAGAAAUAAUGUAUUUAGAAAAGAGUAAGCUCCUGUGCUCUCAUUCAGGAAGGCUGAGGGGAACGCAGUGCAGCCAGCAGUCCAUGCAGUGAAGCCCAGGUGCAUCUCCACCGUGGUGAAUGUUGAGCUCCAGCUCAGCUGAAACCAAUAAACACCUUUCAGCCCAACAGCUGCACGUGGAGCUGAGAAACCUGAGCAAAAUACAAAGGAGUAAAUAAUUCACACUGGGGAGAUGGCGUUCAAAAUCCCUGCAGUUUUAAUUAACUUGAAAUGCUAUCAUUUCCAGUAACGUAGAGGGUUUUUUUUCCCUCAGACACUUGUUCAAAUUUUGCCAUUAGAUUUUUCAUAGUCAAGUUUUCACUUGUUAUGGCUCGUGGCAAAUUAAUUGCAUAGCUAUUCUCUAUAGGAGCCUGUGGCUUUUUGGUGAGCUCCCUUUGGUUUUUUAUCACCUGGUCUUCUGCAUGUUUGAAUGACCUCCUCACUUCUGCUCUUCCAGGUCCCUUCGGAGGACGAUGUGCUCAGGUUUGCUCAGGCCGUCCCUUACUCAGCUGUAGUUCAACAUGGCCCACAACAACAGCAGAUGAAACACUCUACAUCUCUUCUACCUCCUUCAGAUGACCUCAAGAUGGUCUGCCAGCGUUCCCAUAAAGCUGCGUCAUCUCCAUACUACAGAGGAAGAGUGUGGGGAUCACUGAGUGAGUGGAAGGGAAGGGCUUGGUAAGGGUUGCUAACACACUUUUGCUUAAGUGUGUUAAAUCAAGUAUGUAUUACUUUCAGCUGUAGCAGUGAGUGAAUAAAAUCUUUAUGCUGAGUGCUCCUCGGGAUGGGAAACACACAGAGAACCUGCUGUGAAGAUGAUGAGAAUUGUCUCAAAGCAAGAUACAAACCUGCAGCUAUGAGAUGCCACGGUGAAUACAGAAAAUAACGGAGAAUCUCUGAACCAAAGUUGGAUUUGAUGUAUGUCCAGUCACCUUACUAAAGCCAGCCUGUGUGCCUCUGUAGCAGCACCUCUGCAGGGCUGCUCCGUGUUUGCAUUACAGAGCCUGCGUGUCAGGGCUGUGCUGUUGGGUAACCCAAACCACAUCAAGGAAAAGGGUUUCAAAGCCGCUGCCUUUAAGCUUCAAAAAGGCCUUUGGAGAUCACAGCGGCGCUGUGUCAUUGGCAGUGUGUCAGCAGCCAAAGGGGAGGAAGAAGUUGGCUUUGAGGGCAGAGAGCAGCAGAAAAUGGCAGCAGUUACACCGUCCUUGGGGAAUAUCUGCCCUCUCCUUGGCACAUCCAGAAGUGCUGCUAUGGGGAGUGAGCAGUGGGGCUCAGUUCACAGAGGGUAUUAUUGCAGAACUGCAAAUAGAAUUUCCCCCCUACGACCUCUGACCAUCCGGUGGGGAGGCCAGCAGGCAGCUGUGAGGGGUGGCACAACCUGAGUUGGAGAUUGGAAGACCUCAUUAAACGUGCAAACCUAAUGAAAAGCCUCGUUAAAAGCCACCAGGCUUGCAAAAGGGCUUGAGCUCGGUGCUGGCACAGCUGGUGCUCGUUGGGGCCACAGGUGAGGCUGUGCCCCUCCUCCUCGUUUUAAACACGUGCUCCUAUUUAAUGCUCCUCAGAAACAGCAGCUUGGGCACAAGGCAGGGUUCUUCCUUCUUUCUUUAGUAGAAUUUAGUGCUCUAUAUAUAAAAAAAGAAUAGUACAGCAUUUAUUAUCUAUCCUCCUGAGUGGUAGAGGAUCAAGAAGCAAGAUGGGCAGUGCUGGCAGCCUUGGGAUUCAGGUGGAGCAGCAGCACAGGUCAGACGUGGUAGAGGGAGAAGAGUUGGUGCCCGUCUCUGUUGUGAAGACAACACGGAGGUAGGAAAAAUGGUGGCUUCCCAGGGAAUGUGGUGUCUGAUUCCACCCUUUGGGUUUUUCUAGCGGUGAAGAGGGAGGAGGAAGCAGCAGUGGGCUGCAGCUGCUGGGUGGGAUUGCAGGAGGAGCUCCUCGUGAGGGGCAGCUCGGGUUUUGGAAGAAGGUUUGGUGGGCUGGGAGGGAGGGGGAAUGGAAGUGGUGAGCUGGAAGGGCACGUGGGUUAAAACACAAGGCUCUCGAGCAGGGCCUGUUGUGAUAGGGCAAGGGGCGAUGGUUUCCAGCUAACAGAAGGGAGAUUUAGAUUGAAUGAAAGGGAGAAAUUGUUUGUUUACAGUGAGGGUGGUGAGGUGCUGCUGCAUAGGGUGGUGGUGGUGCCCGUCCCUGCACACCCCUGGGGUGAGGCUGGAGGGGCUGUGAGCACUGAUGGAGCUGUGGGUGUCCCCGUGCAAUGCAGGCAGUGGGACCAAAUGGCCUUUGGGCAUCCCUUCCAACUCCAACCAUUCUAUGAGAAGGUAGUAAAGACUUCUGUACGCUGAAAUACACAACGUGCCUGGUGUUCUGUUGUACCUGCUUCAGAAAUACCCUUCAGAGACACUGGGACCUCAUCUUCUAUCUGAUAUCACGAAGUUCUUGAAUUCUGCACACAGUCCCCAGCAGAGAAUGCUGCCUUAAUCCCUUCCAUGUCAGCUGUGUUCAGUGUGCACAGUGCUGAUGUUGACACCAGGUGCAGUUUAAUGCAUUAGUGGGCAUGGUGGGGAGGGGUGGAUGGUCGGGUUAGAUGAUCUCAGUGGGCUCAAUGUG
ensembl:lncRNA